rnacentral:rRNA from 1 species
UCGAGAAUCUUCGGCAAUGGACGCAAGUCUGACCGAGCGACGCCGCGUGCGGGAUGAAGGCCUUCGGGUUGUAAACCGCUGUCGUAGGGAAUCAAGUGUAUGAGGGUACUCCCUUGUAUUUGAGAGAUCCUAGGAGGAAGGAGAGGCUAAGCUCGUGCCAGCAGCCGCGGUAAGACGAGCUCUCCAAACGUUAUUCGGUAUUACUGGGCUUAAAGAGUUCGUAGGCGGCUCUGUAGGUGAGAUGUGAAAGCCCUCGGCUUAACCGAGGAACUGCGUUUCAAACCACAGGGCUUGAGGGAGAUAGGGGUAAGCGGAACAGAUGGUGGAGCGGUGAAAUGCAUUGAUAUCAUCUGGAACACCGGUGGCGAAGGCGGCUUACUGGGUCUUUUCUGACGCUGAGGAACGAAAGCUAGGGUAGCGAACGGG